GACGAACGCUGGCGGCGUGCUUAACACAUGCAAGUCGAACGGAAAGGCCCUGCUUUUGUGGGGUGCUCGAGUGGCGAACGGGUGAGUAACACGUGAGUAACCUGCCCUUGACUUUGGGAUAACUUCAGGAAACUGGGGCUAAUACCGGAUAGGAGCUCCUGCUGCAUGGUGGGGGUUGGAAAGUUUCGGCGGUUGGGGAUGGGCUCGCGGCUUAUCAGCUUGUUGGUGGGGUAGUGGCUUACCAAGGCUUUGACGGGUAGCCGGCCUGAGAGGGUGACCGGCGACAUGGGGACUGAGAUACGGCCCAGACUCCUACGGGAGGCAGCAGUGGGGAAUAUGGCACAAUGGGCGGAAGCCUGAUGCAGCAACGCCGCGGGCGGGAUGACGGCCUUCGGGUUGUAAACCGCUUUCGCCUGUGACGAAGCGGGAGUGACGGUAAUGGGUAAAGAAGCACCGGCUAACUACGUG
rnacentral:rRNA from 1 species